rnacentral:rRNA from 1 species
ACUCAAAUGAAUUGACGGGGGCUCACACAAGCGGUGGAGCAUGUGGCUUAAUUCGAGGCUACGCGAAGAACCUUAUCCUGGACUUGACAUGUGCGAAAGCGCGAGGCAGUAGGGCGCGGAAACGUGUCCCCAACGGUAUCCAGUCCGGAACCUCGUACAGGUGCUGCAUGGCUGUCGUCAGCUCGUGUCGUGAGAUGUUGGGUUAAGUCCCGUAACGAGCGAAACCCUUGUCUCCAGUUGCCAGCGGGUCAUGCCGGGGACUCUGGAGAGACUGCCGGUGUUAAACCGGAGGAAGGGGGGGAUGACGUCAAGUCCUCAUGGCCUUUAUGUCCAGGGCUGCACACGUGCUACAAUGGCGUGUACAAAGGGAAGCCAACCCGCGAGGGGGAGCCAAUCCCAAAAAACACGCCUCAGUUCAGAUCGAAGGCUGCAACUCGCCUUCGUGAAGUUGGAAUCGCUAGUAAUCGCAGGUCAGCAACACUGCGGUGAAUGUGUUCCUGAGCCUUGCACACACCGCCCGU